GCUGGCUGAGGAAUUCUGGGAGUUGAAGUCCACAAGCCACGUUCCAUGACAAAAGCUGCGAAGAGCCCGAAACGCAGUUCUGUCCUCCAUCGGGAGGCCAGAGGAAAAGGGGCGGGCGAGGGGCGGGGUUUCCUCGACAAGCACCGCCCACUUCGCGGGGACAUUGAAGGCGCGGGUCCUUGGCAGGAAAUGGCUCUGCGCCUAUCGCUCCGGCAGGGCCGCUCUUUCGCCUCCAGCGGCGGACAAGCCAGUAGUCCUCAACUUACCACCACAGCGGAGCCAAAAUUCAUGAGACUAAGUGAGAACUUUGUUAAGUGAGUUUUGCCCCGCUUUACGACCUUUCCUUGCCACGUGUUAAGUGAAACAUUGCAGUUCUUAAAUUAGCAACUAUUAAAAUGAGUAACUAUUAGUUUACUAUUUUUAGCGAACCAUCACUAAAUGAACUGUUGUAAGUCAAAGACUACCUGUACUUCGGAGUAGUGUUAAGUCCCAGGUAUUUAAUAGGACUUAUUCUGGGGUACCUGGGUAGAUACAACCUCUUCCACUAUUUUUGCUUCUCUGUCUUGGAGCAGGUAAGCUUUUCAGGAUUUUCAGAUUCAUUUCUUGUAAGUCACUAUACAAGAAUGUCUUCCUCUCCCAAUAAAAUGCUAAUGGUUGCUCUGUUGUAAGUUGUUCAGAGUCGCUUGGAUAGUGAGAUGUGUGGUACAUAAAUUUAAUAAAUAAUUAAUAAAUAUUUGCUAACUCACCUUUGUUCCACCAGGCUGGUCCAAGGGUUGUUCUGUAAAUUGUUUUGUGAAAGGGAUUGGAUUUUCUUUGUAAAAAAAAAAAAUGAAGCUUUUGUGGAGUGAGAAGUGAUGGAAUCAUACUUUUACUUUGGUACCCAGAUCUAAGGACCCCGGUUUGAAAAGCUAACCAAGGGCCAAGACUAGAGUCUUCCAGCAGUUUUUAUAGUCAAGGGAUGGUCGCCUUCAACCCUUUGCCCUUCCCCUAAUCAUGCAUGCACAACAGAUCAUUUUGAAUGGUUAUUUGGGUUUUACGUUGUUUUUUCACACACACACACACACACACCCGGUCACAGGUGACUUGCAAAGUGUGCCGGUUUAGGGUUUUUUUUCCUUAUAAGUGAGCUAUUCUUCCUGGCUGGCGGUUUGAAGGUGCUAACUUCUGCCUGGCUGUUAAUGUGCAGCCCCCCCCCUCCUUCCUUCCUAUUGCAGAGCAGAAUAAAAGAAAUGAAGA